UCGAGGACGAACGCUGGCGGCGUGCCUAACACAUGCAAGUCGAACGGGGUGAUUCCUUCGGGGAAUCACUUAGUGGCGAACGGGUGAGUAACGCGUGAGGAACCUGCCUUUCAGUGGGGGGACAACAGUUGGAAACGACUGCUAAUACCGCAUAAUGUAGCGAGACCGCAUGAUCUUGCUACCAAAGCUUUAUGUGCUGAAAGAUGGCCUCGCGUCUGAUUAGCUAGUUGGUGGGGUAACGGCCCACCAAGGCGACGAUCAGUAGCCGGUCUGAGAGGAUGAACGGCCACAUUGGGACUGAGAUACGGCCCAGACUCCUACGGGAGGCAGCAGUGGGGAAUAUUGGGCAAUGGGGGAAACCCUGACCCAGCAACGCCGCGUGAAGGAAGAAGGCCUUCGGGUUGUAAACUUCUUUUACCAGGGACGAAAAACAUGACGGUACCUGACUAAGAAGCCCCGGCUAACUACGUG
rnacentral:rRNA from 1 species